rnacentral:rRNA from 1 species
UUUUUUAAGCACCAUGGCUUAAUUCUAAUUAUCACCGUCGAGCGGAAACGAGUUAUCUGAACCUUCUGGGAACGAUAACGGCGUCGAGCGGCGGACGGGUGAGUAAUGCCUAGGAAAUUGCCCUGAUGUGGGGGAUAACCAUUGGAAACGAUGGCUAAUACCGCAUAAUGCCUACGGGCCAAAGAGGGGGACCUUCGGGCCUCUCGCGUCAGGAUAUGCCUAGGUGGGAUUAGCUAGUUGGUGAGGUAAUGGCUCACCAAGGCGACGAUCCCUAGCUGGUCUGAGAGGAUGAUCAGCCACACUGGAACUGAGACACGGUCCAGACUCCUACGGGAGGCAGCAGUGGGGAAUAUUGCACAAUGGGCGCAAGCCUGAUGCAGCCAUGCCGCGUGUGUGAAGAAGGCCUUCGGGUUGUAAAGCACUUUCAGUCGUGAGGAAGGUGGUGUAGUUAAUAGCUGCAUUACUUGACGUUAGCGACAGAAGAAGCACCGGCUAACUCCGUGCCAGCAGCCGCGGUAAUACGGAGGGUGCGAGCGUUAAUCGGAAUUACUGGGCGUAAAGCGCAUGCAGGUGGUUUGUUAAGUCAGAUGUGAAAAGCCCGGGGCUCACCCUCCGGAAUAGCAUUUUGAAAACUGGCAGACUA